AGAUAACCACCCACUCCCACCUAAGUUUAAACUCUUUGUCACAUAAAAGGCAAUCAUGAUCCAGAGAUACAAAAGAAAGGUUAAAAGAUUAUUGAUGAGCUAAUGAAGAAAAUUCUCACUCUUGAGGUACAUGAUCGCAGAAGACUCGUGAUAUGUCCCAAUAAGAGUUGCCCAUCAACUCCAUGAUCGCAGAAGACUCUUCUACCUCAAAGGAUCAACAAGGACUUCAAAUACUCUUACAUCCCGUACACACUUUAAGGUUAUAAGAGUAUGGUCCUCUCUUCCAUU